rnacentral:misc_RNA from 1 species
UUUUUUUGUGUUUUCCACUAGAAACGCUUGCGCAGAUAAAUAAUACAAUUUCGCAAGCAGCAGACAGGAGGGUUCGCGAUGAAAAACAAGAUGUAAUUGCAACCCUGCCCGCGAGCACCACUGCCGAUUUAGCUCCGUUUCCUGGUUUUAGGAGCACCAAAUUAAAGGGAAACACCCAUUAUUCAAAAUAAAAGCUUCAAAAUUUUCGCUAUGAAUCUUAAUAUUUGAACAUUUAAAUUGGUGCUUUGUUUAAUCUUCAAAAGAGAAUCACUAAUACAGUUCUGCAUUGA